UCCAUUUGAAUCAUCAUACAUAUUCUCUAUUCCCUGAUCAGCAAGCUAUGUGGGGGACAACGUCAUAUAGGGAGUUCGGCUGGGAUGCGUCACAUCAUUUA
rnacentral:rRNA from 13 species